CGCAGGAUGAACGCUGGCGGCGUGCUUAACACAUGCAAGUCGAACGAUGAACCUCACUUGUGGGGGGAUUAGUGGCGAACGGGUGAGUAACACGUGAGUAACCUGCCCUUGACUCUGGGAUAAGCCUGGGAAACCGGGUCUAAUACUGGAUACGACCUUCUGGCGCAUGCCAUGUUGGUGGAAAGCUUUUGUGGUUUUGGAUGGACUCGCGGCCUAUCAGCUUGUUGGUGGGGUAAUGGCCUACCAAGGCGACGACGGGUAGCCGGCCUGAGAGGGUGACCGGCCACACUGGGACUGAGACACGGCCCAGACUCCUACGGGAGGCAGCAGUGGGGAAUAUUGCACAAUGGGCGCAAGCCUGAUGCAGCGACGCCGCGUGAGGGAUGAAGGCCUUCGGGUUGUAAACCUCUUUCAGUAGGGAAGAAGCCUGUCUUUUGGGUGGGUGACGGUACCUGCAGAAGAAGCGCCGGCUAACUACGUGCCAGCAGCCGCGGUAAUACGUAGGGCGCAAGCGUUAUCCGGAAUUAUUGGGCGUAAAGAGCUCGUAGGCGGUUUGUCGCGUCUGCCGUGAAAGUCCGGGGCUUAACUCCGGAUCUGCGGUGGGUACGGGCAGACUAGAGUGCAGUAGGGGAGACUGGAAUUCCUGGUGUAGCGGUGAAAUGCGCAGAUAUCAGGAGGAACACCGAUGGCGAAGGCAGGUCUCUGGGCUGUAACUGACGCUGAGAAGCGAAAAGCCC
rnacentral:rRNA from 1 species